rnacentral:sRNA from 1 species
CGUGCGCACGCGCCUAAUCCCGCAAGGGAGCCGGGGAACCACCACAUUGGGGUGAAUCGGGCACGCACCACGCCCGUAGGAGACCUUCCUGCUCCGAACCCGUCAGCUAACCCGGUAGGCGAGAAGGAAGGAAAGG